AAGAUUUUAACCCUCAUGCCCUCUUCGGGCAUUUUUGUACAUUUUUCUCAUUUUUUUUUUUCAUUUUGUGAUAAUUUUUGCUGUGUUACUGCUUAUGGCAUGACAUUUUGUCAGAAACUUUCUUUUUGGUCAACAUUUUUAAAUCCAGUGUUUUUUUACUCUUACAUGUUUUUUAUACUUGAUUGAUUCAUUUUGUACCCUCUGGACACCUUUGUCUUUAUGUCCAAAAAACUGUUAUUAAAUCAUCAUAUAUCAAUAAUUUUUUUUUUUGCUCAAAACUACCAAACAUUCAAUAAUUUUCAGGAUUUUAACCCUUUAAAUGGCAGUUUUAAUUCUUUGAAGUAAUUAUUAUUUAUGAAAAACCCAACAGAACAUAAAUUAUUUUCCAUAAAAUAAAUCGUAAGGGAAUGGGGCUUUGGUGGUGAUUAGAGUCUUGGAUAUGUCAAAGAUUAUCAACAAAACUGAUUUGAUUGCAUUAGUAUUUUUUAUGUAGUGCCAGAUACUCCCUCUGGACACCUUCGUGGACAAAAAUGCCUCAUUGACUUCCAUUAAAACCACAUGCUUUUAUCUCACUGCCUUUACAGUAUAAAACCAUGCAUUCUAUAAUGUCAGCAUUUCAUUUUUGUCAUUUUGGUAAUAUUUGACAUUUUUACUGUAUUCCACCAGAUUCAACCAUUUUCCCUUUGUAGGCCGAUGCAUGAAAUUAUUGUAUUAUAUUAUGGAGCCGUGUGUGUGUGUGUGUGUGUGUGUGUGUGUGUGUGUGUGUGUGUGUGUGUGUGUGCGUGUGUGUGUGUGUGUGUGUGUGUAUGUGUGCGCGUGUGUGUGUGUGCGUGUCUGUGUGUGAGAGAGAGUUGUGUAAAUCUGUAAGCAAGCGCUGAUCAUUUUAGGGGUGAAAAAAGGGCAUCUUAUUUUUGCCAGUUAUAUUAUAGAGCUGUGUGUGUGUGUGUGUGUGUGUGUGUGUG